rnacentral:misc_RNA from 1 species
AGCAGUAGCUCCGCUGGUAGCAGCGGUCUCACCCAAAGUGGUGGUUCAUCCAGCAGCUACCGUUAUGGUUACUCAACCUCCCAUCGCUAUGGCAAUACUGGCUGCUUCUAUUGUGUUGCAGGAGGAGCGAACAGGGCGCCAAAUGAACGGUUCCAGUUCGAUGAUGAUUGCUACCGGUUCUCUUGUGUCUGCGCUUGCAACGGAAGUUGGGAAUGCCCCGCUUCGCAAACACAAGAAAUAUGCAAAACGCAUACCAACAGUCAAGGUUCCUCUGGAUCAAGCAUAACACAAGUACAUAGUGGCGGUUCGUCUAGCAGCAGUGGUAGUGUCCACAGCAGUAGCACCGCUGGUAGCAGCGGUCUCACCCAAAGUGGUGGUUCAUCCAGCAGCUACCGUUAUGGUUACUCAACUUCCCAUCGCUAUGGCAAUACUGGCUGCUUCUAUUGUGUUGCAGGAGGAGCGAACAGGGCGCCAAAUGAACGGUUCCAGUUCGAUGAUGAUUGCUACCGGUUCUCUUGUGUCUGCGCUUGCAACGGAAGUUGGGAAUGCCCCGCUUCGCAAACACAGGAAAUAUGCAAAACGCAUACCAACAGUCAAGGUUCCUCUGGAUCAAGCAUAACACAAGUACAUAGUGGCGGUUCAUCUAGCAGCAGUGGUAGUGUCCACAGCAGUAGCUCCGCUGGUAGCAGCGGUCUCACCCAAAGUGGUGGUUCAUCCAGCAGCUACCGUUAUGGUUACUCAACCUCCCAUCGCUAUGGCAAUACUGGCUGCUUCUAUUGUGUUGCAGGAGGAGCGAACAGGGCGCCAAAUGAACGGUUCCAUUCGAUGAUGAUUGCUACCGGUUCUCUUGUGUCUGCGCUUGCAACGGAAGUUGGGAGUGUCCUGCCUCACAAACACAGGAAAUAUGCAAAACGCAUACCAACAGCCACGGUUCCUCUGGAUCUUCUGGACAAGGAGGCACGUGCAGGCAGUGCACGGCUUACGGCAACAAUUACGCAGGAAACUCGCAUUUCCAAUACGACAGAGACUGUUUUAGGUUUAAUUGCGAUUGCUACUGUAACGGAUCGUGGAACUGCCCAGCCGAGCGAACCGAGAACCUGUGUACACCAGAGAGGGGCCAUUGUAGGAAGUGCAACGUCCAGGGAUACGACAGGGAACCAAACUCACGAUUCCAGUUCGACAAGAACUGUUUCCGGUACGACUGCGACUGCUACUGUAAUGGGUCGUAUAACUGCCCUGCAGAGAGAACGAGAGAAAUACCCGGAUGUGGAAGCCAUCGUUCUCGCCAAGGCACCGAGCCCUGCAAGAACUGUAUGGUGAAUGAAGAGAGCCAUGAACCUUACUCCGAUUUUAGCUACACUGAGGGAUGCCUGAAACACAAGUGUCAUUGUCAUUGCAACGGAACCUAUAGCUGUCCAGCAGAGAACGCCGAGAAUAUUUGUCCCGAGGGUAAGAACUGCACCGACUGUGUUCUCAAGGGCAAUUCUUACCGAGCUGGCGCGAAGUUCCAGUACAUCGAGGGGUGCGCCCAGUAUGAUUGCGACUGCUUCUGUGACGGAAGUUUCCACUGCCCGCCGAGUCGUACAGUCGACGUCUGCAGGGACAAACCAAACCCCUGCACCCAGUGCGAGUACGGUGGAAUGAAAUAUCCUGGAAACGCCAAAUUUGUGGUCAAAGAAAAAUGUUCCCAGGUGGAGUGCUUCUGUGACUGCCAGGGAAAGAUUACCUGUAGAGGUGCAAUUAACACCUGUGCAGACCGCGGGGAUCUGGGUUAGAAAACAAAAUGAUGCCCAGGGUAGACGGAAAAUAAACAAUACUCAAUAAGAUAUAUCUAUUUUUAAUGUAAUAUAUUUUAUAAAUUUAGUGAAGAAAUGCCAAACAAUAACAUUUAUUUUUGUACUGGAAUUGGUGUGAAAAUUUGAUUGUAUAUUGGACCGAUAUACAUGUUAUAUUAAAAUUCAUCGUGUUCUUGAGAAACUUUUCAAAAGCUUAUUUCUUACUCUCUUGAUGAAUCAUGUUUGCGGUGUGUAAAAGAAUUAUAUUUCUGUGCAUUAGAUUUUGUUCAUAGCUCAUAAAAUCCUCUAUCGUAUUAAAAUGUUGCAUACAAAUCAGGUUAACGAAUUUAUUUACAGCCAAUAAAUGUUCGUUUUAACACUUUU